rnacentral:sRNA from 1 species
UCCUCGUCGUCUUCAUCAUCACCCUCGUCAUCCUCAUCUUCAUCAUCGUCGUCAUCUUCAUCGUCAUCAUCUUCAUCAUCCAUAAUGCCUUCGAAGUCCUCAUCUUGAGCAGCCUCUCCAGUAAACCAUGAAACAGCAUGUGGAAUGAUCUUGUCUCUGAUGGGCAUACCCAAUGUCAUAAUCUUGCUCCAUUUGAAAAUAUGAAACUUACUGUAUCCUCAUCAAUUUCCUCAUCAUCAUCAGGAACUUGAGGUGGGCUGAAGAAGUUAAAGAAGCUCUCACAGUUUUCAGUUUUUGUGAUAGGUUUAGUGUUCUUUGAGCCCUUCUUUGGUUUCUUCUUGAGAACCUUUUGUGUCAAACACUUCCCAGGGAACCAUUCAAUUUCAUUACCCAAUGGCUUUCUCCAGAAUUGGUUCAUCUUCAUCAAUCAUGUGGUAUGUUUUGGUAAGCACCGAGUUCUUGAAGAAUGGAUUAGUAUCGAAGUAAAAUUCAAGCUUGAAACCCUUUGGCUCACUAAUUCUGUACCAUUUGAUGUCCUUGAGGUACUUAAGAGCUUCCUCAUCCCUCUCCUGGAUCUGCAUACGAGCCAGACAAAUGAAACUUAAGACAUGCUAGACCAAAUUAGAAGAAUUUUGUUUUAUAAAAGUGCGAAGUCUCACCUCCUCAGACAGAAUUUCAUGGUUCUUCAUGGCAUUAAGCCAGAACUCUGCAGGCCAUUAAAAAUAGUUUACCUUGGAGUAAAGUGGUUCAUACAUCUUCUGAUAUUUAGCUUCAAGUGCAGCUCUCUCCUCAAAGAACUUCGCCUCUAGAUCAUCGUGUUGGCUCUGG